rnacentral:misc_RNA from 1 species
CAUUCUCCUUUUGGGUUUUGGCAUGAAUAUUUCUUGCUGAAUUAUAAUGGUGUGGCUACCAGACUACAACGUGAUAGAUAUUUCGUUGGAUGUGACUGGGAUUGCUCACCUUAAAAACAUUUGUA